AAAUUAAACUUUUCUUAAAAUAAUUUAAAGGACGCGGUAUCCUGACCGUGAUAAUGUAGCAUAAUCACUCGCCAUUUAAUUGAUGGAUAGUAUGAAUGGUUAAACGAAUAUAACACUGUCUCUAAUAGAAAAUUUAUAAAAUUGGAAUAAUAGUAAAGAUACUAUUUAAAACUGUAAGACGAAAAGACCCUAUAGAGCUUAACUAUAAUCUUUAAUAUAAUAAAUUAAGUUUACUUAUAUAAUGAUUAAAGAUAGGUAGUUUAGUUGGGGCGACUGUCUUUUAUAAUAAACAAAGACAAGCAAUAUUAAUAAAAUAAUUUACUGUAUAAAUAAUAAUUUUAACAGUUAUUAACAUAGGCUAUAAUGACCCGUUUAUAUAUUAAAUAUUAAUAAACGAUCAAUAAAUAAAAGCUACCUUAGGGAUAACAGGAUAAUUUCAUUUUAGAGU
rnacentral:rRNA from 1 species